AUUUUUCAGAGUCCAUUUUAUAAUGUGGGGUUGUUACAAUUCUGCUUUUUACAUUUAUGUAGAGAGAACAUGCUAUAGCCAUAAGAGUAUAAGGAUUGGCAUCCAAUGCCCUGUGUCCAAAUCCCAACUCUGUCACUUACUGCGUUCUGUUGUCUUAUCUGCCAAAUACGGGUCAUAACUUUCUGUUGGUCUACCUCUCGAGGUUGCUAUGGGCAGUAAUGACAAAGCCAAGGAGAAAUCGUAAAGGGCUGCCCAAAUGUAAUCAUAAAAAGAGAGAGCAUUCCAUUUUUCUAACUUAGAAAGUCUGCAAACAGGGAGGCCUAGGGUCUAAUCACUUCAAUUCAGUCCAGGGAUGGUAAGCAUACCAUUGUAGAUGGGAUAGAGGAGGUACCAUUCAAUGUAAUCUGUCUUUAUCAUGGGGUUAGCUCUGGGAAUAAACAUGAAGUAUAAAAGUAUCUUUGGCUGCAUAGAAAUAGGGAUGACAAAAACAUUCUAGAAAGAACAUUAUGAUCUCAUAAACGACAUCAAAAUUCUCACUUGGACAUUGUGACCCAGCAAAUUAUCCUUUUAUUUGAAGGUAAUUACCUACCUUGUGGCUGACAUGUUUAUAAAGUAAACCCAAAGUAUUUAGUUUCCAUUUGUUUUUGUUUAGGUUGGUUUUUCCACUGUCUUGCCCUGGGUCUAAAGAAAGCCUGCACAUAAUAGGAAUGGCAUGGAGCUAUUUUAAAAAAUGUGGCCAGAGGAGCUGGAGCUGAACUGUCACUGCAGAAAUAAACAGUAUCUACUUGUACAACUUGACUUUAACAACAGUGGGGCCCGGGGAAGGCCUCCCACCUGCUACAGGCGUUACUGCCCCUUGUCCAGCGUCCUGUGUUAAUCCCCCACGCACGGUACCUGUUGCCACGUCUACUUCUAAUGCCGGCAAUGUUUACUUUUCUUCCCUUGCACAGACCCCUGAAUCCUUGAGAAGGGACUACCUGUAUCAUGCACACCACCUAGAAUGGGAUCUUAUUGCCAGCCAGCCAGUAACUUGUCCAGCCCCAGUACCUCAUUUUACUGCCUGCUCUCUUGGACUGAAUUGUCUACUAGGUGACUUGGAUUCUCUGAUGAGCACAAGGUGAACCUGAGUUGGGAUGCAAAAAGUUUAUUGGGGGUUAAGGCUUUGAAAGGAAAAGGGAGA
rnacentral:lncRNA from 1 species